AUUGAACGCUGGCGGCAUGCUUUACACAUGCAAGUCGGACGGCAGCGCGGGCUUCGGCCUGGCGGCGAGUGGCGAACGGGUGAGUAAUGCAUCGGAACGUGCCCAGUAGUGGGGGAUAGCCCAGCGAAAGCCGGAUUAAUACCGCAUACGACCUGAGGGUGAAAGCGGGGGACCGAAAGGCCUCGCGCUAUUGGAGCGGCCGAUGUCGGAUUAGCUAGUUGGUGGGGUAAAGGCUUACCAAGGCGACGAUCCGUAGCUGGUCUGAGAGGACGACCAGCCACACUGGGACUGAGACACGGCCCAGACUCCUACGGGAGGCAGCAGUGGGGAAUUUUGGACAAUGGGGGCAACCCUGAUCCAGCCAUGCCGCGUGCGGGAAGAAGGCCUUCGGGUUGUAAACCGCUUUUGUUCGGGAAGAAAUCCUCUGGGCUAAUACCCCGGGGGGAUGACGGUACCGGAAGAAUAAGCACCGGCUAACUACGUG
rnacentral:rRNA from 1 species